rnacentral:rRNA from 1 species
GUUUGAUCCUGGCUCAGAUUGAACGCUGGCGGCAUGCUUUACACAUGCAAGUCGAACGGCAGCACGGGGGCAACCCUGGUGGCGAGUGGCGAACGGGUGAGUAAUAUAUCGGAACGUACCCGGAAAUGGGGGAUAACGUAGCGAAAGUUACGCUAAUACCGCAUAUGCCCUAAGGGGGAAAGCGGGGGAUUCGCAAGAACCUCGCGUUUUCGGAGCGGCCGAUAUCGGAUUAGCUAGUAGGUGAGGUAAAGGCUCACCUAGGCGACGAUCCGUAGCUGGUCUGAGAGGACGACCAGCCACACUGGAACUGAGACACGGUCCAGACUCCUACGGGAGGCAGCAGUGGGGAAUUUUGGACAAUGGGCGCAAGCCUGAUCCAGCCAUGCCGCGUGAGUGAAGAGG